rnacentral:rRNA from 1 species
UCUAAAAAAUAGUAAGGGCACAUGGUGAAUGCCUUGGAAAAUGGAGCCGAAGAAGGACGUGAUUACCUGCGAAAAGCAUCGGGGAGCUGGAAGUGAGCUUUGAUCCGGUGAUAUCCGAAUGGGGAAACCCAAUACGAUUAAUCUCGUAUUAUCCAUAAGUGAAUACAUAGCUUAUGAGAAGGGAACCUUGGGAACUGAAACAUCUUAGUACCAAGAGGAAAAGAAAAUAAAUAAUGAUUCUGUUAGUAGCGGCGAGCGAACGCGGAAGAGGCCAAACCAGUCUACGGGCUGGGGUUGUAGGACAUCUUUUUAGAGUUACAAAAUCAACAUAUAGUAGAAGUUACUGGGAAGUAACGGCAUAGAGGGUGAUACCCCCGUAUACGAAAUGUGUUGAUCUCUUAGAUGGAUCCUGAGUACGGCGAAACACGUGAAAUUUUGUCGGAAUCCGCCGAGACCACUCGGCAAGCCUAAAUACUCCCAUUUUACCGAUAGUGAACCAGUACCGUGAGGGAAAGGUGAAAAGUACCCCGAGAGGGGAGUGAAAUAGUUCCUGAAACCAUGUGCUUACAAGAAGAUAGAGCCCGUUAAUGGGUGAUAUCGUGCUUUUUGUAGAAAGAGCCGGCGAGUUAAUGUAUCGUGCGAGGUUAAGCAGAAUAUGCGGAGCCGUAGUGAAAGCGAGCCUUAAUAGGGCGUUUAGUACGUUGCAUUAGACACGAAACCGGGUGAUCUAGCCAUGAGCAGGUUGAAGUUUGGGUAAAACCAAAUGGAGGACCGAACCGACGUUCGUUGAAAUGACCGCGGAUGACUUGUGGCUAGCGGUGAAAUUCCAAUCGAACCCGGAGAUAGCUAGUUCUCCCCGAAAUAUAUUUAAGUAUAGCGUCGAGGUUUACCACAAUGGAGGUAGAGCACUGAAUCUAUGAUGGCCCCACCUAGGGGUACUGAAUAGAAUUAAACUCCGAAUGCCAUUGUCGGAUACUCGGCAGUCAGAACAUGGGUGAUAAGGUCCAUGCUCGAGAGGGAAACAGCCCAGAUCGUCAGCUAAGGUCCCUAAAUUUAGGUUAAGUGUGUAAGGAUGUGGAAUUGCACAGACAGCUAGGAUGUUGGCUUAGAAGCAGCCACCAUUUAAAGAGUGCGUAACAGCUCACUAGUCGAGUGAUUCUGCGCCGAAAAUGUACCGGGGCUAAACCUAAUACCGAAGCUACGGAUUGUAUUUUUUAAUACAGUGAUAGGGGAGCGUUCUAAUUGUGAUGAAGUCAGACUGUGAGGACUGGUGGAACGAUUAGAAGUGAUUAUGCCGGCAUGAGUAACGAUUGAAUGUGAGAAUCAUUCAUACCGUUUGACCAAGGUUUCCUGGGCAAGGUUCGUCCACCCAGGGUUAGUCAGGACCUAAGGCGAGGCCGAAAGGCGUAGUCGAUGGACAACAGGUUGAUAUUCCUGUACCUGCUAGUUAGUGAUGGAGUGACGGAGAAAGGUAGUGUAUCCCAGGUGAUGGAUGUCCUGGGUUAAGCACAAAGGCGGCAACAUAGGCAAAUCCGUGUUGUAUUAAACGCUGAAGUGUUAUGAGGAGUGAACGGUUCGCCUAGUAACGAAGUACAUGACCCUACGCUUCCAAGAAAAGCUUCUAACUUAAUAACUAGUAGCCUGUACCUAUAACGAACACACGUGGUCAAGGAGAAAAUCCUAAGGUAAGCGAGAUAACUGUAGCUAAGGAACUCUGCAAAAUAACUCCGUAACUUCGGAAGAAGGAGUGCUCAACGCAAGUUGAGCCGCAGUGAAGAGGGAGGGGCAACUGUUUAGCAAAAACACAGCUCUCUGCUAAGUCGCAAGACGAAGUAUAGGGGGUGACGCCUGCCCAGUGCCGGAAGGUUAAGAGGAGAAGUCAGCGCAAGCGAAGCUUCGAAUUGAAGCCCCGGUGAACGGCGGCCGUAACUAUAACGGUCCUAAGGUAGCGAAAUUCCUUGUCAGGUAAGUUCUGACCCGCACGAAAGGCGUAAUGAUCCCUUCGCUGUCUCGGCUGCAGACUCGGUGAAAUUUUAGUACCGGUGAAGAUGCCGGUUACCCGCAACUAGACGGAAAGACCCCGUGGAGCUUUACUAUAACUUGAUAUUGAAAUUUGGUAUAACGUGUAGAGGAUAGGUGGGAGACUUUGAAGCUGGACCGCUAGGGCCAGUGGAGUCAACCUUGGAAUACCACCCUCGUUAUAUUGGAUUUCUAACUUCGACCCGUUAUCCGGGUUAAGGACAGUGUCUGGUGGGUAGUUUGACUGGGGCGGUCGCCUCCUAAAAUGUAACGGAGGCGCUCAAAGUUACACUCAGCAUGGUUGGAAAUCAUGCAUAGAGCGCAAAAGUAUAAGUGUGAUUGACUGUGAGACUUACAAGUCGAACAGGUACGAAAGUAGGAUUUAGUGAUCCGGCGGUCCCGUGUGGAAGGGCCGUCGCUCAACGGAUAAAAGUUACCCCGGGGAUAACAGGCUGAUCUCCCCCAAGAGUUCACAUCGACGGGGAGGUUUGGCACCUCGAUGUCGGCUCAUCGCAUCCUGGAGCUGUAGUCGGUUCCAAGGGUUGGGCUGUUCGCCCAUUAAAGCGGUACGCGAGCUGGGUUCAGAACGUCGUGAGACAGUUUGGUCCCUAUCUGUUGUGGGCGUAGGAAAAUUGAAGAGAGCUGUUCCUAGUACGAGAGGACCGGAAUGGACACACCUCUGGUGCUCCUGUUGUCACGCCAGUGGCACAGCAGGGUAGCUAUGUGUGGAACGGAUAAUCGCUGAAGGCAUCUAAGCGAGAAGCCUCCUUUAAGAUGAAUUUUCCCAUUUCUUUAGAAUGUAAGAUCCCUUAUAGACUAUGAGGUUGAUAGGAUGGAUGUGUAAGUGUCGCGAGGCAUUAAGCUAACCAUUACUAAUAGAUCGAGAGAAUUUUAGAAA